GGGUCCAUAGCUCAGCCUGGUCAGAGCGGCUGGCUCUUAACCAGUAGGUCGGGGGUCCAAAGUAAAAUUUUGGCUAGUGCUGAAUUUUAGAGGAAAUCCCCCUGGACCCG
rnacentral:tRNA from 1 species